rnacentral:snRNA from 1 species
GUACUCGCUUCGGCGGUACAUAUACUAAAAUUGGAACGAUACAGAGAAGAUUAGCAUGGCCCCUGCGCGAGGAUGACACGCCGGCACGGUAGUUCAGCGUGUUC